UACGGAGGGUGCUAGCGUUGUUCGGAAUCACUGGGCGUAAAGGGCGUGUAGGCGGUCUGUUAAGUCUGGUGUGAAAUCCCCCCGCUCAACGGGGGAACGGCGCCGGAUACUGGCAGACUCGAGUACCGGAGAGGAAGGUGGAAUUCCCGGUGUAGCGGUGAAAUGCGUAGAUAUGCGGAGGAACACCGAUGGCGAAGGCAAUCCCCUGGGCCUGCACUGACGCUCAUGCACGAAAGCGUGGGGAGCAAACAGG
rnacentral:rRNA from 1 species